rnacentral:ncRNA from 1 species
CUUAUCAAGAGUGGCGGAGGGACAGGACCUGUGAAGCCACGGCAACCUGCUUUUCGCAAGGUGCCAUUUCCUGCGACGCAGUCGAGAGAUGAG